UACAGAGGGUGCGAGCGUUGUCCGGAAUCACUGGGCGUAAAGGGCGCGUAGGUGGCGGCCCAAGUCCGUGGUGAAAGCUCGAUGCUCAACAUCGAGUCGGCCACGGAUACUGGGUUGCUCGAGCACUGUAGGGGCAGAUGGAAUUCCGGGUGUAGCGGUGGAAUGCGUAGAGAUCCGGAAGAACACCGGUGGCGAAGGCGGUCUGACUGGGGCAGUUGCUGACACUGAGGCGCGGACAGCGUGGGGAGCA
rnacentral:rRNA from 1 species